rnacentral:rRNA from 1 species
UAGUCAUAUGCUUGUCUCAAAGAUUAAGCCAUGCAAGUCUCAGUGUCAGCGUUUCCAUGGCAAAACUGCGAAUGGCUCAUUAAAACAGUUACAGUCUACGCAGUGAUUCACCUUACAUGGAUAACCGUGGAAAAUCUAGGGCUAAUACAUGCUUCAAACCUGACUUCGCAGAAAGGUUGCUGUCGUUAGACACAGAACCGACACAGGCUCUGCCUGGCGCCAAGGUGAAUCAUAACGGUCUGGCAAAUCGCAAGGCUUCUGCCGGCGAUGGACUGCUCAAGUUUCUGACCUAUCAGCUUCCGACGCUAGGGUAUUGGCCUACCGUGGCAAUGACGGGUGACGGAGAAUUAGGGUUUGAUUCCGGAGAGGGAGCCUGAUAAAUGGCUACCACAUCUAAGGAAGGCAGCAGGCGCGCAAAUUACCCAAUUCUGACACAGGGAGGUAGUGACAAGAAAUAACAAUAUGGGGCAUCCAUGUCUUGUAAUUGGAAUGAACCAGUUCUAAACCAAUUUGUGAGUAUCGAUU